UGGGGAAUAUUGCACAAUGGGCGCAAGCCUGAUGCAGCCAUGCCGCGUGUAUGAAGAAGGCCUUCGGGUUGUAAAGUACUUUCAGCGGGGAGGAAGGCGAUAAGGUUAAUAACCUUGUCGAUUGACGUUACCCGCAGAAGAAGCACCGGCUAACUCAGUGCCAGCAGCCGCGGUAAUACGGAGGGAGCAAGCGUUAAUCGGAAUUACUGGGCGUAAAGCGCACGCAGGCGGUCUGUCAAGUCGGAUGUGAAAUCCCCGGGCUCAACCUGGGAACUGCAUUCGAAACUGGCAGGCUAGAGUCUUGUAGAGGGGGGUAGAAUUCCAGGUGUAGCGGUGAAAUGCGUAGAGAUCUGGAGGAAUACCGGUGGCGAAGGCGGCCCCCUGGACAAAGACUGACGCUCAGGUGCGAAAGCGUGGGGAGCAAACA
rnacentral:rRNA from 1 species